AGCGAACGCUGGCGGCAUGCUUAAUACAUGCAAGUCGAGCGAAGCGAUUUUAAGGAAGCCUUCGGGUGGAAAUAAAAUUGACUUAGCGGCGGACGGGUGAGUAACGCGUGGGUAACCUGCCUCAUACAGGGGGAUAACAGUUAGAAAUGACUGCUAAUACCGCAUAAGCGCACAGUGCUGCAUAGCACAGUGUGAAAAACUCCGGUGGUAUGAGAUGGACCCGCGUCUGAUUAGGUAGUUGGUAGGGUAACGGCCUACCAAGCAGACGAUCAGUAGCCGACCUGAGAGGGUGACCGGCCACAUUGGGACUGAGACACGGCCCAAACUCCUACGGGAGGCAGCAGUGGGGAAUAUUGGACAAUGGGGGAAACCCUGAUCCAGCGACGCCGCGUGACUGAAGAAGUAUUUCGGUAUGUAAAGGUCUAUCAGCAGGGAAGAAAAUGACGGUACCUGACUAAGAAGCCCCGGCUAACUACGUGCCAGCAGCCGCCGUAACAC
rnacentral:rRNA from 1 species